rnacentral:rRNA from 1 species
CCUACGGGUGGCUGCAGUGAGGAAUAUUGGUCAAUGGGCGGGAGCCUGAACCAGCCAAGCCGCGUGAGGGAAGAAGGUACAGCGUAUCGUAAACCUCUUUUGUCAGGGAACAAAGGCGGGGACUAGUCCCCGGAUGAGGGUACCUGAAGAAAAAGCAUCGGCUAACUCCGUGCCAGCAGCCGCGGUAAUACGGAGGAUGCGAGCGUUAUCCGGAAUCAUUGGGCGUAAAGAGUUCGUAGGUGGCACGUUAAGUCUGGUGUUAAAGGCGGAAGCUCAACUUCCGUAGGGCACUGGAUACUGGCGAGCUUGAAUGCGGUAGAGGUAAAGGGAAUUCCUGGUGUAGCGGUGAAAUGCGUAGAUAUCAGGAGGAACAUCGGUGGCGUAAGCGCUUUACUGGGCCGUAAUUGACACUGAGGAACGAAAGCCGGGGUAGCAAAUGGGAUUAGAUACCCCUGUAGUC